rnacentral:rRNA from 1 species
UACGUAGGGUGCGAGCGUUAAUCGGAAUUACUGGGCGUAAAGCGUGCGCAGGCGGUUUUGUAAGACAGGUGUGAAAUCCCCGGGCUUACCCUGGGAGCUGCAUUUGUGACUGCAAGACUAGAGUGUGGCAGAGGGGGGUAGAAUUCCACGUGUAGCAGUGAAAUGCGUAGAUAUGUGGAGGAAUACCGAGGGCGAAGGCAGCCCCCGGGGUCAACACUGACGCUGAGGCGCGAAAGCGUGGGGAGCAAACAGG